UACAUUGGCAAAAAUAGAGGAUUUCCUGAAAAUGUUGGUGUCAGAUUUAUUUUAGGAAAUUGUGUGGAAUUACAAAGUAAUGUGACUGAGGGUCUGGGUGUAGUCGGAGAGAGUUAAGUGUUUGACAUCUGAUCUCCAGCAGAAUGCUUGCUCUCCGAGCAUACAGUAGUGUCAGAUAGAAGAGGCUGUUUCUAAAACAGUUCAGGGUGGAUGUUUGCUUCUGAUUAGCCUGUGUGUGCGUGUUGGAUGAAUGAGCAAUUGCAAAGUCAUGACCAUGUGUUUGCUGUCAUUUAAACUGCCAAUCCAAUCUAAAUAUACAGUGGGCGCCUAAGCAGAGUUCUUUCCUUUCAAGAGAAUCAUUGUAACAGCACUCAGUCCCUUCCUGACACUUGUGAGCCUGGCCACGUCUGUGUUCCCGAGGGCUCCUCUGUUUGGGUCUCAAGGAGGUGAGGAUGAUUUCUUUGCUUGCUCUAUUGCUUGGUUUUGAAGGCCAGCUGUAUGUAAAGUUUAUUUACCAUGACCAGUAAUUAUAUAGUUUCUAAGAUGUUACACAAGGCAGUGUACAAAGAGGGUAAAAGUGAUAGAACAAAGGCACAGAUUAUGGAAGAAGUCAGAAAAAUCUUUCCAGUUUUAGAUCAUGAAUUUGCAUGCAGCAUGCCUAAUCUAAUUGAAAUGAAAUUUGAGAAAGUUUUAUGCAUAGGCAGUAUUUUAUAGAGUAUCACUGUAUGAUGGAGCCUUGAUAGGUACUUUUCCCCCACAGAGUGAGUUAAAUACAAGAAAAAUGUCUUUCUCCUAUAACUUCAGGACAUUUAUAGACAUCUUAAUGCCAUUGAUUUCUUAAAAUGAAUACUAAAGAAAUAAAAGCUUUUUUUUUUUCUGUUUGAGACUGUAUUGCCGAACAAAUUCUCUUACUUUCUAAGAGAUGCUAAGGUUUAAAACUGCCAACAUUCUAUCAUUCAGAAAUGAGUCUUUCCACUCAGCAAAGCAUAAUGCUGUUUUUCCUGUGUUAUAAUUAUGUAGCAUGUCACUUUAAGAAGUCCCACUGCUUAGAUGGUUUCACUGUUCACAUGAUUUUAUGUUUAAGAACAAAUACUGCAAAACUUCACUUCUCUCCAAGAACUAAUAACACUCCUGUCAUCUAAUCAUUAGAGUAGUUGAUAAAAAUUAGUUAUCAAUGUAUAUGGAAAUAUUUUUCAAUUCGUAUUUUAAAAUUAAUGUCUGUAAAUUCUUAUUUAAAUACACAUAUUUUUAUUUUAAAGGUUCCAAACAUGUUUUAAUGAAAUUUGAGUUGACUUUCAGAUAAUUUGUAUGACAGAUACAGUCUACUUACAAAAAUUUUAAAAAACUAUGCUUUCAUUGAGUGCCCUUAGAUCUUUACAUUUAGGCAGUAACAUUUGCAUUUUCUCCUAAAGAAAGAUGAGUUAUUGGGUUAUGUAUAUGGACGAUCAGAAAUCAUGUACGUUAAUCAACAGAAGUACUAUAUUCUGAAAAUAUAGUCAAGGAGAUUUUUUCCCAUGUGUAUCUGUAUAACUUAAUCUUAUCAUUCAGUCACAUGAUAUCCAAAUAGUUAAUCUUGUAUACAAAUGGGCUACAUAAUUAGAUGUAAAUGCUAAUGCUGACAUGUUUUUCUGGUGAGAUGGAAUGUGUUGGGUUUACCUACAUGUGGAGGUACUUAAAAACAUAAAGGACAUUUGGGAGUGUUUUGUGCACAUGUUCGAUGUUUGGUUUUGAACAUUUGUUUCCUUUUGAAGUGUUUGUUUCUGUUGUGAUAUUGUAGGGGACCACAGCUGACCAGAGUGAAUCAUCCCGGAAAGCUCACACUUAGUUUAGAGCAGUGAGCAGAAGGGACCCCUGCAAAGCUGCUGUCUCUCUCCUUGCCCUCCCAGCCUCUCUCCUUUCCCUUCCACCCCCGGCCUGUCCCCUGCAGUUCACUUACUCAGAGAAUUGUGCAGUCUGCUUGGCUUACCAGGACAUUCAUGAGAAUAAUACUGUCAAUGUUGCUGGGUUUCCUCCAUAGAUUUAGUCUAGAAGGAAACACCACUUUAUAGACUAAUUUAACCUUAAAGUUUCCAGUACCAAGCUUGCAAAGAGGGCACAGUUACAUCCUUUACAUGGUUCAUAAGAUGAAAACCAGCCAGUCUCUCAGGGGAUAUUUAAGACAAAAAACAAUUAAGUUAAAAAAAAAAAAAAGAACUGGUUGUUGUUGUUGUUAGUUUGUUGUUGUGUUGCUUUUUACACUGGGUAUUUUAUGUGUGACUAGUAGUUUUGACAGUGUUGGAAAAAGUUGAAAAGGAAUGUUAUAGGCUAAAUGCCAAAGUCGUAGAAUACCACAUACAUUUUUGAAACAUGUAUAUUUAAAUAUGCUCUAAGGUUCAUAGUGUUGAACUUUUUCUGAAUGGUUCUACAGGUACCUAUAGGAAAUGAUCCUGUUUUGUGAAAACUGAAAACAGGGUUUGAUUUUUAAAUCAUUCUUGAGAUAUUGAAAUUAAAUGUGUUUCUGAGGAUAGAUUCAGAAAUGCUUGCAAACCAUCCUCCAGGAAAGCAGCCAAUCCUUUGGGUUACUGCUGUACUUUAAAGUGAGGACUUUGAACCCACAUUAACUUGUCUGUAAGGAAGGGAAAAUUGAAGCGAGCAAGAGAGGCUGGGAAGACCUCUAGCUGGUGUGGUGCUGAGCCACCAUUGUUGAAGGACAUUCUUUGAGCCGAUUUCAGUCCCAUUUAAAAAAAAAG
rnacentral:lncRNA from 1 species